AGCUCACCAUUGUAAAGUCAAAAAAAUCGUAAGUCGAACCAUUUAAGUCGUGGACCACAAUGGGACAGCGGGAUGGUAUAGAAGCGUCAUAUAAUUAAGAACCUUUAUUUAUUCAUUUAGUAGAUUCUUUUCUCCAAAGUGAUGUACAUCUCCACGAGGGAAGGGACUCGGCAGUUCUGAGGGACAGAGGGAGUUAAUUCCACCACAGCACAGUUCAGAGAUUUUGGAAUUUGGGCCUUUCCUGUGACCUUUGCCAUAUGAGCCUUGGCUGAUUAACCAAACUCUGAUCACAGGAUGAUUUAAACUGUCCAAACUAUAGAGUGGCAUUUAGUUUUCACUGUGGUUGUGUAACAGCUGCACAUGAUGCGUUCGCAAGUCAUACCCUCCCUUUUAUUUAUGCAUAAAGCUGAUUACAUAUUUUAUCCAUGGUGUGUACGUACAGGGGUUAGAUGUCAGGUCACAGCAUGCUCUUGGCCUCAGCCUGGAAUGCCAUUAGUCUCUGACUGCAUUUCUCCAUAGGGAACACUUAAUUAGUCCUUCUGAGAACCGAUCCCAGAUAGCCCAGUGACAGGCCUACGUUCAUCAUCGUCGAGUCGGUACGUUUGGAAGCACAGCUUGAGAAACCCUGUUGGAGAUAACGGGAACAGCUUGCUCUUAAGUGAGCACUGGAGAGCCUGUGCCGCAUGGCUCCAGGUUCGAACAGAGAGUGGAUUCAGGUACCCAUCAGAGCAACCCAUGACAAUUCCUGGAGCUGAACACUGCUGUGCAUAGUGGCAAGGGUACGACAGCGGUCCCACCGAAAUGACAAGGGUGGCUAGGGGCUGUGAAAGGAACAUGAGCAGGAAGGAGCAGCACUAAGGCGUUGAAAAGGAAAGACAAGGCAACACAUGGCUGUGGACUUGAGCUCAUUGGAAGGAAUCAGGUUUCUUACCGCGGGAAUCACAAGUGGACAGGGCUGAGUGUAAGAGUAUUAGUUUGACACAGUUCCGGUUAACAUAACAUCCAAGCAGUGUAUUUUUUCUCUUUUUACCUCAGUGCAUGCACAGUACGCCUGUCCCCCAAACAACAGGGUUAACAAUUCAAUUCAAUUUAAUUCAAUUCAGUUCAAUUCAAUUUAUUUUCAU